GUAUUGUGAAUGAAAGGUGAAAAGAAUUCCGGAAGGUAGGUGAAAUAGUGGUAAAUUAAAUAAUAGGAUGAAAUCUAAAGAAUUUAUUAUAUAAGUGGUUGUGGAAGCAAGAAUUGUUGAGUUUAAACUAACAUGUUUAUUGUUAUUAAAGCCCGAAAACUACCGAUCUAACUAUCAUUAAGAUUUU
rnacentral:rRNA from 1 species